rnacentral:misc_RNA from 1 species
GAUGAAGAAACGUAGCGAAAUGCGAUACGUAAUGUGAAUUGCAGAAUUCAGUGAAUCAUCGAAUCUUUGAACGCAUAUUGCGCUCUCUGGUAUUCCGGAGAGCAUGCUUGUUUGAGUAUCAGUAAACACCUCAACUUCCAUAUCUUUUUUGAAAUGGGAGUUGGACUUGAGUGAUCCCAACGCUUUUCCUCACCGAAAAGUGGCGGGUUACUUGAAAUGCAGGUGCAGCUGGACUUUUCUCUGAGCUAUAAGCAUAUCUAUUUAGUCUGCCUAAAAAACAGAUUAUUACCUUUGCUGCAGCUAACAUAAAGGAGAUUAGUUCUUGUGCUGACUGAUGCAGGAUUCACAAAGACAGGCUUCGGCCGACUUUGUAAACUCGAUCUCAAAUCAAGUAAGACUACCCGCUGAACUUAAGCAUAUCAAUAAGCGGAGGA